GCGACGGGGACCCCCGGCGGGCGUCGCGGCGGGCGGGCCUCGAGAGGCUCGGUUCUUAAAGGGAACGCAGCGCCGGGAGCCUCUUCCGGGCUGGUGGGUGGGAAAUUUCCUGGAAGAAGGGGAGCCCGCUGCAGUGACGUGGGCUACGGCGGCGUGGGUCUGCAGGGCCGAGGAGGGGCCCGGGGAGACACGAAACCGGCAGUGCGUGGGGACUGGACUGCCUGGUUUCCCGGACGUCCAAGCCAGCCUCUCCCCCUCACCUUCUCGGGUUAAUUUGAGAACAGGGUUGAAAAAGAAGAGCUCAUAAAGGACUCAAAAAGGAGAAGAUCAGAGAUGUGCAAAGAGACCUAAACGUCCAGGAAGUUGUAAGAGUGAUUCAG
rnacentral:lncRNA from 1 species